rnacentral:rRNA from 1 species
UACAGAGGUCUCAAGCGUUGUUCGGAAUCACUGGGCGUAAAGGGUGCGUAGGCCGCACGGUAAGUCAGAGGUGAAAUCCCGGAGCUCAACUCCGGAAUGGCCUCCGAUACUGCCGUGCUCGAGGACUGGAGAGGAGUCUGGAAUUCACAGUGGAGCAGUGAAAUGCGUGGAUAUUGUGAGGAACACUAGUGGCGAAGGCGGGUCUCUGGACAGUUCCUGACGCUGAGGCACGAAGGUCAGGGGAGCAAACGGGG